rnacentral:rRNA from 1 species
GCCCACUAGCUAGCCCAAACAAUUAAAACCAACAACUAAACAUUAAUAAACCCUUAUUUACUCACAACACUAAACAAACCAUUUUUCCUCUUUAGUAUAGGAGAUAGAAAGAGAUACUUGAGCGAUAGAAAAAGUACCGCAAGGGAAAGCUGAAAAAGAAGUGAAACAACCCAGUUAAGCGAUAAUAAGCAGAGAUUACACCUCGUACCUUUUGCAUCAUGAUUUAGCUAGCACCUCUUGGGCAAAACGAUUUUUAGUCCAAUCCCCCGAAACUAAGUGAGCUACUCCGAGACAGCCUAUUAAUAGGGCACACCCGUCUCUGUGGCAAAAGAGUGGGAGGAGCUCUGAGUAGAGGUGAUAGACCUACCGAACUUAGUUAUAGCUGGUUGCCUGAGAAUUGGAUAGAAGUUCAGCCCUUUUUACUUCUCAAAUCAAAGCCAUCAAGCCCGAUUAAAAGAAUAUUAAGGAGUUAGCUAAAGGAGGUACAGCUCCUUUAUUUAAAGACACAACUUUACCCGGAGGAUAAAGAUUAUAAUAGUUAAGGGACUAAUAUUUUGGUGGGCCUGAAAGCAGCCAUCCUUAAAGAAAGCGUUAAAGCUCAAAUAUUGCUCUUCCCAUAAAUUCCAAUAAAUUUUCUGAUUCCCCCACUAUUAACAGGCCUCCCUAUGCCCCCAUAGGAAAGAUUAUGCUAAAAUGAGUAAUAAGAAAGACAAGACUUUCUCCAGGCACAAGUGUAUAUCGGAACGAACCCGCACCGAACAUUAAAGGCCCCAACUACAGAGGGAAAUGAAAAUGUUUUACAAAUACAAGAAAAACAAUCAGCCACCCACCUUUACCCCCACACUGGCGUGCCCAAAGGAAAAACUAAAAGAGAAAGAAGGAACUCGGCAAACACAAGCUUCGCCUGUUUACCAAAAACAUCGCCUCUUGAAAUCCCCACAUAAGAGGUCCCGCCUGCCCUGUGACUCUGGGUUUAACGGCCGCGGUAUCUUAACCGUGCGAAGGUAGCGUAAUCACUUGUCUCUUAAAUAGAGACCUGUAUGAAUGGCAUGACGAGGGCUUAGCUGUCUCCUUUCUCAAGUUAAUGAAAUUGACCUCCCCGUGCAGAGGCGGGGAUAUUACCAUAAGACGAGAAGACCCUAUGGAGCUUUAGGUGUAAAAACUGCUCAUGUAAUCAACCCCUAAUAAAGGGACUUAACCUUAUGACCACAGUUUGGAUGCCUUUGGUUGGGGCGACCGCGGGGAAACAAAAAACCCCCACGUGGACUGGGACCCUACGUCCUAAAAACAAGAGCACCCGCUCUAAUUAACAGAACUUCUGACCUUACUGACCCGGCACCCGCCGAUCAACGGACCCAGUUACCCUAGGGAUAACAGCGCAAUCCUCUUAUAGAGCCCAUAUCGACAAGGGGGUUUACGACCUCGAUGUUGGAUCAGGAUAUCCUAAUGGUGCAGCCGCUAUUAAGGGUUCGUUUGUUCAACGAUUAAAAUCCUACGUGAUCUGAGUUCAGACCGGAGUAAUCCAGGUCGGUUUCUAUCUAUGAUGUAAUUUAUUUCAGUACGAAAGGACCAAAGAAAUGAAGCCUCUGUUAUUAAUAAGCCUCACUCCCACUUACUGACACCUAAUAAAGUAAGCAAGGGAGGACAACCUUUGAGCCAUAAAUCAUGGCAU